ACCUGUCUGGCUUAGUCAGAACAGCAUGUGACUCUUGAUCUCAGGGUUGUGAGUUCAAGCCCCACAUCGGGUA
rnacentral:tRNA from 1 species